GACGUAGGGCGCGAGCGUUGUCCGGAUUUAUUGGGCGUAAAGAGCUCGUAGGCGGCUUGUCGCGUCGAAUGUGAAAACUCGGGGCUCAACUCCGAGCUUGCAUUCGAUACGGGCAGGCUAGAGUUCGGUAGGGGAGACUGGAAUUCCUGGUGUAGCGGUGAAAUGCGCAGAUAUCAGGAGGAACACCGAUGGCGAAGGCAGGUCUCUGGGCCGAUACUGACGUGAGGAGCGAAAGCGUGGGGAGCGAACAGGAUUAGA
rnacentral:rRNA from 1 species